CAAUUUCUUUGGCAUGGAAGCGCAGCUUUAUCUUUCGUCCCUGUUAACCGAGAUCCUAACACAGACCCAGUGUGAUAACAGUAAUUCUCAAGUGGUCUGCGGUCACUCUAUCACGUCGCCAAAAUGGUUGUUUUGUUUUCCAGAUCAUACUGAAAAAAAGGAACACAGACGGAAUAAUAAAUUUGAUGGCCAAUACUUUGUCUGAGAGAAGUAAGAAACUACCAAGAGGAAAAUCGCAAAUGUGCUCAUACUCGACAAGACGUGUAUUCUAAAGAUUUUGUUGGCCUAUAACGAUUUUGAUAUCAUUAUGCUCAAGACGAACUCAAUUUUCGUACCACAAGCAACUUUGGAUAUUUCCUCUGCCAAGUUUACAAGUUGGUCGUAUGAUUCCGCGGUAAUAACAUUUUCUCGAGCGCCUGCAAUUUCUAUCAGCUCAUCUUCAUCGAUAUCUUCCUUAUUCCCAACUGCCACAACAUAAAUCUUGAUUCCUUUGUUUCGCAGAGGCUCAGACGCCUCCUGUAAUGACUUGACACUGCUUUGUUGGCCUGUUUGUUUACCAGUGGUUAACAGAAUCAUAAUCUGUGAA